GGACCUGUAGCCUAGCCUGGAUAAGGCGACAGCCUUCUAAGCUGUAGACCGAGGGUUCGAAACAACGAAUACUCGUUGAAGGCUAACGUCUGUAGGAUUUUAACUUCAUAAAAUCCUACUUAGUAGCUAAAAAUAGUGUUCGCUGGCGAAAGUCCCUCCAGGUCCG
rnacentral:tRNA from 1 species